UCCACACCUAUAUGUAUAGGACUUCAAAAGAUUACCAUUAAAUUUGACAUAGAUCUCUAGAAAAAUUAUCACAUGGAUAUGAGACUUGACUUUUCUAGAGAUUUGUGUCAAAUUUAAUGGUGAUCCUUUGGGGUCCUAUACACAUGAGUGUGGG
rnacentral:pre_miRNA from 1 species